UACGUAGGUGGCUAGCGUUGUCCGGAUUUACUGGGCGUAAAGAGCGCGCAGGCGGUCGUUCAAGUCGAGUGUGAAAGCCCCCGGCUCAACUGGGGAGGGUCACUCGAUACUGAUCGACUCGAAGGCAGGAGAGGGAAGUGGAAUUCCCGGUGUAGCGGUGAAAUGCGUAGAGAUCGGGAGGAACACCCGUGGCGAAGGCGGCCAUCUGGACCAGCACUGACGCUGAGGCACGAAAGCGUGGGGAGCAAACAGG
rnacentral:rRNA from 1 species